rnacentral:lncRNA from 1 species
AUUUUAGCAUCUUGACUUUUACACUUCAAAGACAACAAUGAAUGCCUGUUAGUCAACUUUAUCAAAGAGAAACAUAUAUUGAAAGGAUUUGUUUCGACCUAUCAAGUUUCCACCACGAGUCAGUGUUUUUCAAAAGCAGAGUGUUGCUGUCUUUAGGAAAGCGCUGCUGCACUGGGAAAAGGAAAAACAUGGAAGACUGAUGAUAAGGUAGACUUCUUUAAACAGGCGUAUCGAAAACUCUGCAGAAUUAAGGGGACUGGAUCCACAGCAUUUUUCAUUGGAGCGGAAUUCCUACAAGACUUGGAGGUUCAGAAGAGCCUGAGGAGUCUUACCUGUUGUUGGUGUCGCAGGCAUGAUGGCUGAUGGACGUGGAUGACAGGUCCUCUCAUUUGCAUGAUCUGCUCAUGG